CCUGAGUAAAUGUGCUUUGUUUCAUUCCACCACUAGUCGCGUUUAACCUAGUUUAGCAUAAAAACUGACAGCAGGUGAAACAGUAACGUUAAGCCUACCCUAAAAGAAGAAAAAUAAACAUUUCAACUGCUACAAAACGGUCUUAUUUAACUUCACAUGUUGUUUCGUGUUAGCCGUAAGCACUGUAUUAUUGCGACAUGCUAGCUAACACGACACAAACAUUGUUAGCUAGCUAAGUUAGCACACUAACCGUUAGCCGUAAUUUACAGAGAUGCUGCACGAAGUCACGUCCAGCAGUUGGGAGAUGAAUGCUAUCUUCUUCUAAUGACAUACAGGGAUUCCAUAGAUGGCUGAACUGUACCUCCUACUUCCCCCCGUUCUCCACUCAUGUGAGCAUCUCUAUAGGCUGCAGCGUUCAUGAGUGCUUGCAGAGGGGAGGCAGGCAGCUGGAGUAACGACAUUUCCAGACGGGAUCUCUGAGCUCAUUUCCCCCCCAAUCAUUCCUCGCAAGUACACUUUGCAACAGAGUCGGACUUUAGCCUCAAAUCAUGGUUCUUAGAUACUAUUUAAUAAGUGAAAAGUUUACAUCUGGUGUCGCUGAGGAGAAAUGAAAGUGCAUUGCAUAACUCUGAGAUCUGAAAAACGUAGUUAGUGUUGUAAAGAUGACUACAAAAGGAGAUGACAAUUCUUUAUAAAGUGGCUGAUCCUAAAAACAAGUUAAGCCUUUAUUAUGCAUACUGAGGUGCUUUUCAGGUAUGCAAAGAAGCAAAAGAGAAAACGAGGGAUAUAAGGACAAGGCAGUGUAGUUAAAGCACUGACUAACUUUCCCAGAUGUUGGGAAAGACCGGCAUCAAACCACCCUGAAGAGACUGCAGGUCAACUGGAAACUAUGCUCAGGAAGAAACGGGAAGAAAAACUAUAACAGUAGACACCAAAAGCAUCACUUUAAAUGCAUAUCUCUUCAGUCAAAGGUGAAACUACCACACAUUUUAAAAGAUGAUGUGUCAAAAUAGUUCCUGACAUAACUGAUUUGGAGACGCACACAGAUAAAAACGUUUUUUGUUUGUCUAUCAUCCGGAUAUUAUUGUGCUAACCACCCCUCUCUCUGCAUUGCAGCAGGCGGCUCUGCCACAGAGCUAUUGUGGCAGUGAAAUAUGACACCCACAUGCACAGUGGGGCUCU